GGUGGGGUAACGGCCUACCAAGGCGAUGACGGGUAGCGGGUCUGUGAGGAUGAUCCGUCACACUGGGACUGAGACACUGCCCAGACUCCUACGGGAGGCUGCAGUCGAGAAUCUUCCACAAUGGGCGAAAGCCUGAUGGAGCGACACCGCGUGCAGGAUGAAGGCCUUAGGGUUGUAAACUGCUGUCACGCUAUAGGAACCCAUGGCAGUUAAUAGUUGUCAUGCUGACUAAAGCGAGAGGAAGCGCCGGCUAACUCCGUGCCAGCAGCCGCGGUAAUACGGAGGGCGCAAGCGUUGUUCGGAUUCACUGGGCAUAAAGAGCAUGUAGGCGGCUCGCUCAGUCAGGUGUGAAAGCCCACGGCCCAACCGUGGAACUGCACCUGAUACUGGCGAGCUCGAGGACGGAAGGGGUGAGUGGAACUUCAGGUGGAACGGUGAAAUGUAUAGAUAUCUGAAGGAACACCGGUGGCGAAAGCGGCUCACUGGUCCGUCUCUGACGCUGAGAUGCGAAAGCUAGGGUAGCGAACGGGAUUAGAUACCCCGGUAGUCCUAGCCGUAAACGAUGGGCACUAGGCAAUGGGUUUACCUAUGAGACUCAUUGCCGUAGCUAAUGUGUUAAGU
rnacentral:rRNA from 1 species